GGGCCCGCACAAGCGGUGGAGCAUGUGGUUUAAUUCGAUGAUACGCGAGGAACCUUACCAGGGCUUAAAUGGAAAAUGACAGGGGCAGAGACGCCCCCUUCUUCGGACAUUUUUCAAGGUGCUGCAUGGUUGUCGUCAGCUCGUGCCGUGAGGUGUCAGGUUAAGUCCUAUAACGAGCGCAACCCCUACCGUUAGUUGCCAGCGUGUAAUGACGGGGACUCUAACGGAACUGCCGGUGCAAACCGUGAGGAAGGUGGGGACGACGUCAAAUCAUCACGGCCCUUACGUCCUGGCCACAGCACUGCGUACAAUGGGGCGGUACAAAGGGUUGCAAUCCCAGCGAGGGGGAGCUAA
rnacentral:rRNA from 1 species